GACGAACGCUGGCGGCGUGCUUAACACAUGCAAGUCGAACGGAAAGGCCCUGCUUUUGUGGGGUGCUCGAGUGGCGAACGGGUGAGUAACACGUGAGUAACCUGCCCUUGACUUUGGGAUAACUUCAGGAAACUGGGGCUAAUACCGGAUAGGAGCUCCUGCUGCAUGGUGGGGGUUGGAAAGUUUCGGCGGUUGGGGAUGGACUCGCGGCUUAUCAGCUUGUUGGUGGGGUAGUGGCUUACCAAGGCUUUGACGGGUAGCCGGCCUGAGAGGGAGACCGGCCACAUUGGGCCUGCGAUACGGCCCAGACUCCUACGGGAGGCAGCAGUGGGGAAUAUUGCACAAUGGGCGGAAGCCUGAUGCAGCAACGCCGCGUGCGGGAUGACGGCCUUCGGGUUGUAAACCGCUUUCGCCUGUGACGAAGCGUGAGUGACGGUAAUGGGUAAAGAAGCACCGGCUAACUACGUG
rnacentral:rRNA from 1 species